rnacentral:rRNA from 1 species
AAAUUGAAGAGUUUGAUCAUGGCUCAGAUUGAACGCUGGCGGCAGGCCUAACACAUGCAAGUCGAACGGUAACAGGAAACAGCUUGCUGUUUCGCUGACGAGUGGCGGACGGGUGAGUAAUGUCUGGGAAACUGCCUGAUGGAGGGGGAUAACUACUGGAAACGGUAGCUAAUACCGCAUAACGUCGCAAGACCAAAGAGGGGGACCUUCGGGCCUCUUGCCAUCGGAUGUGCCCAGAUGGGAUUAGCUWGUWGGUGGGGUAACGGCUCACCWAGGCGACGAUCCCUAGCUGGUCUGAGAGGAUGACCAGCCACACUGGAACUGAGACACGGUCCAGACUCCUACGGGAGGCAGCAGUGGGGAAUAUUGCACAAUGGGCGCAAGCCUGAUGCAGCCAUGCCGCGUGUAUGAAGAAGGCCUUCGGGUUGUAAA